GUCAGGUGGCAACAGUCUGUCUGCACGUCCUGCUGAAAUCUCAAUCCCAUCAUUGCUGACUGGACCACAUCCCCUGGGGAAAUCACACACCCACGUCACGUUCUUCAGGGUCACCUCUUGCAUGUGCUGUGUUUUGGAGUCUGGGUUUAGCGGACAAAUGCGACAAAGAGCACGCAGCUUAAGUCCUCUACGGAUCAGACACGCAGCAGUGCCGAGCCGGUGGGCUUUCUGGUCAUCGCUGCCGUGGACUGUGCUCUUUUUCUUUCUGGUUUUCACAUCUAUAAGGAGAAAAGAGUGUCCUCCUGCGUUUGGACCUUUCUUGUAUAUUGUCUGGAAGACCGAUCCUCUGUAUUCUCUCUAGAGAGUUUCCAGCUAAAGAGAGAACAGCUCUCAUGCAAGUCUGCCGGAGCCGUCUGUUUCCUGAAUGGCCUCUUUGAACCAAGUGUCAGGACGUGGACUUCAAUAACACAGCUGGAAGAGUAGGGGCUGAGGGGUUUCUGAAGCAGAAAGUCGUGACGUUUGAUUCUGAAUUGUUUUCUCAGCUACCUGGCCUUUUACACCGUGGAGCUCAGGGCUCUAGAAGAUGAAGAAGAACCCACAACAAACCAGCCAAUCAGUUCCUAAUUUCCCUGUAAGUUACUUUUAAGUACACCUUCGGCAAGUUAGCUUUUCGUAGGGAAAAACUGGGCUGCCCCGGGAAAAGUCAAACACUGUGGUUACUACAAGAAAAAACUAGUUUAAAUAGAGAGUGGACCGGUGUCAUGCUCCACCCCAAAGGCUGUUGUUUACACGCGCUGAUGGCAUUUGAAAGCAAAUCGCUCUGUGCUUUUGUUAAUGUCUCUCAGAAAGCAGAGAGACAACUGAUUUGCCUAGGUUUGUUAACCAUGCGAGGUUUUACAGCUACUUCGGGCAUUUCCCAACUUGCUGGGAUCAACUGUAGAGUACGACCGGCUCUCUCAGUUUGAAAAUCAAAAUGAUUGUCAACAGCGCUCAUUAGCCGAUGUUUGCAUGUACAAGAUGAACUGAAAUAUACAAAAGGUGAGAAUACACUCAUAUUGGCAAAGCAUGGCUUUUAAGAGAAACCGAAUCUUCAAGCGACAAUUCCCGGUAAGCGAGGAGCGGUUUAUUCAAUUUUUGGCUUAUGAAUGGUCUUUUCUUCUUUGCCUUCUCGCUCUUCAGGAACCUUAGUGGCAUAUAAUGCCUUCCAUCAGAGACAGAACAGUGAAAGGGGGCAGUGAACUCAAUCCUGUAAAUUUCUUUUCUUGUCAGAGGCUCUGAUAAAAAGAAUCUGAUGUAGGAGGAGAUAAAAAUCUAUCUAAUGGUAGCUAGAAGUAAAAGCUCUAGAAACAUAUCCCAGGAUUGGACUUAGCCCAUACACUACUGCUUGCUAGGAUUUGGCACUCACAUAUUCAGUCCAUAUAUGUUGGGGAAAAGAAUAUAAGGGUUCAACAAAAAUGUGCUCUUAAGUGUAACAUGGAAGGCCAGCUUGUUGGGGUU